rnacentral:rRNA from 1 species
GCAGCAGCCGCGGUAAUACGAGGGGGGCAAGCGUUGUUCGGAAUUAUUGGGCGUAAAGGGUGCGUAGGCGGCUUGACAAGUCUUGUGUGAAAUCUAUGGGCUCAACCCAUAGUCUGCACGGGAAACUGUCGGGCUUGAGAAUGGGAGAGGUGAGUGGAAUUUCCGGUGUAGCGGUGAAAUGCGUAGAUAUCGGAAGGAACACCUGUGGCGAAAGCGGCUCACUGGACCAUUUCUGACGCUGAUGCACGAAAGCUAGGGGAGCAAACAGGAUUAGAUACCCCCGUAGUCCCUGUCUCUUAUAC